UCCCUCAGAUGGUGAUAUUAGUUUGUUAA
rnacentral:piRNA from 1 species